GUAUGAGAAGGGUUAAGACAUUGGAGUUGGCGAUUGCACGGCCAUUGAGGAUUUGCCACGGUGCUUUUGCAGUUUCAGUGAAGUGGCAAGGGCGGCAGUCAGUAGUGGACUGAGGAAUGAGAGGAUGGUGAGGAAGUGGAGGCAGGGAGUGCAGAGUUUUUCCCAGCUUUGGAAAAAGUCCAACUCCUUUGGGUGCUAAAUUCAGAUGGAUGAGACUCUGAGAGUCAAGAAGGGGAUAAAUACUGAAGAGCUGUCACCAGACCACAGAACCAUGUGUGAACCCAGCCUUUACCCUCCACUCCAUCUCCCGCAGAGCUUGUGCUAUCACAGUAGGAAAAAAGAAAAGCUCUUCUUGUCUCUGGGAUAACGGAAGUGUUGGGACAGAGCACGCAGUAUGGAGGCCACAGGGCUCAGCUGGAGACGACAGGAUGUGAUGGAGAUGCUCAGUACCUGGAUGCUUCUGACCAGUCAUGACACACACGUUUUAUUGUUCAUUGCGUCUCUGGCUGGUUGUGAUGACAAUUUCUCUCGCCAAGAAUAUCAGGGAAGCCAAACAAAGUAGAAGCCUCUGUGGCCACAAUAAUAUC
ensembl:lncRNA